UACGGGGGGGGCAAGCGUUGUUCGGAAUUACUGGGCGUAAAGGGCGCGUAGGUGGCCUUCUAAGUUGAACGUGAAAUCCCUGGGCUCAACCCAGGAACUGCGUCCAAGACUGGGAGGCUUGAAUCCGGGAGAGGGAUGCGGAGUUCCAGGUGUAGCGGUGAAAUGCGUAGAUAUCUGGAGGAACACCGGUGGCGAAGGCGGCAUCCUGGACCGGUAUUGACACUGAGGCGCGAAAGCCAGGGGAGCAAACGGG
rnacentral:rRNA from 1 species